rnacentral:sRNA from 1 species
AGAACGUAGGUCGCUGUCUGUGGAUGAC